UAUGGCCACAUCACGUUGAAACAUUGGUACCCAUAUGAGCACCGAAAUUAAGCAAUGUCAAGCCUGGUGAGUACCUCCAUUGGUGACCACUUGGGAAUACCAGGUGCUGUAA